AACGUAGGGGGCAAGCGUUGCCCGGAUUCACUGGGCGUAAAGCGGGUGUAGGCGGUCCUCUAAGUCAGAUGUGAAAUCCUACGGCUCAACCGUGGAACUGCAUCUGAUACUGGAGGACUUGAGGACGGUAGAGGUCGGUGGAAUCCCCGGUGUACCGGUGAAAUGGGCAGAUAUCGGGGGGAACACCAGUGGCGAAGGCGGCCGACUGGGCCGAUCCUGACGCUGAGACCCGAAAGCCAGGGUAGCGAACCGG
rnacentral:rRNA from 1 species